rnacentral:rRNA from 1 species
AGGGCACCACCAGGAGUGGGGCCUGCGGCUUAAUUUGACUCAACACGGGAAAACUCACCCGGCCCGGACACUGGAAGGAUUGACAGAUUGAGAGCUCUUUCUUGAUUCAGUGGGUGGUGGUGCAUGGCCGUUCUUAGUUGGUGGAGUGAUUUGUCUGGUUAAUUCCGAUAACGAACGAGACUCUAGCCUACUAAAUAGAUAGUCGGCUUACAAACGUCGACUAGACUUCUUAGAGGGACAGGCGGUGAUUCAACCGCACGAAACAGAGCAAUAACAGGUCUGUGAUGCCCUUAGAUGUCCGGGGCCGCACGCGCGCUACACUGAAGUGAUCAGCGUGCUUUUUCAGCCUACUCUGUAAGAGUGGGAAACCCAAUGAACCUUCUUCGUGAUUGGGAUAGGGGAUUGUAAUUAUUCCCCUUGAACGAGGAAUUCCCAGUAAGCGCGAGUCAUAAGCUCGCGUUGAUUACGUCCCUGCCCUUUGUACACACCGCCCGUCGCUACUACCGAUUGAAUGUUUUA